GAAUAAACAGCACUGCAUUUGCUAUCAACUUUGGAUAUGGCAUCAGCAAUGUUGUAAUGUCAUCACAUUUUACCCUCAGAAAUGACACAUAUAUCUUAAUUGAGAGUUCUGUCAAUAAACUGGUGAGUUAAAUAUAUACAUAUUCAAUUGCCAAUAGAAGAAUUUCAAUGGAUCACUAUUCUAAUUUGACUUGUUGUUUUCACCCACAGCUCAACAUGAUUUUGAGCAACAACAAUACAGUUCCAUUUACAUUUGGACCUUUAAAAUUUUUGUGAGUCAGUAGUGGAAGCAUAAACUUCAUUGUUCAGUAUCAUACACAUUAUUUCUUAAGCUCUCAUGUACUGUUUUCUUAUAGGGAUGGAACCAAUGAAAUUCAGGCUGAUGUACAAUAUGUUUUUAAUGAGAGUGACUUGAAAUCACCAAGUCUCUUCCUGGAGGAGAUCAUGAAACUUAGUGGUAUGUUGUUGUUUUUUUGCCAUAUAUUCCUAACAUCAGUUCUUUUCGAGGUGUUCAUGUUAGUCCCUUAGUUCUAGUCCCUGUAAAACAGACAAUCUAUGUUCAUGGUUAACUUGGUGGUUUGCGAGAAUAUUUGCGGGAAUAUAGCGCGCGGGGGGUGGGCGCGACAUACGGGGAAUGGGAUUUAUUAAUAAUAAAUACAAAUAAAAACGGCACAAGGGCCAAUAACAGGGGAGCCCCGAUGUCAAGCAGAUUGGCGCCAGGUGCGUAACCAGCCGCACCCAAUCGUGACAGAAUUAUUGUUCCAGUCUUACUCAAGGUGUCCCAUUUCCUUUCCAGGUCUACAGCCAACCACAGCAACUAUUACAGAAAUAACAAGUAAUAAUACAACAACAGCAUCAGCAGGAGGCUUUCCUGGAUGGGCUUUAGCAAUCAUUAUACCCUGCGGUAUUGCAAUCAUCCUUGUUCCACUCUGGAUCCUUCUUUGUUGUUUGCUGUGUGGCUGUUGCGCAGCCCUCAGGAGACGUUGGAGAAGACGGCAAUCUUACAAUGUUCAGUACACUACACGCAAUGGUCUAUUCUGAGUGUAUUUGCACAAUAAUGAUUAACAUGUAUUAUUUAAAUGUUUGAAAAGUUGUUCUGUUACGAAAUUAAUGGGUUUUUGAGUUACAAUGUAAGAAUGGUUCAACUAACACAGUGUAUGUUUCGUACAGACAGCAUGUUUCUUAUUGUUUUGUGAAUCUGCUUGUAUUUAUUAACUUAUUUUUAAUUAUUCAAUUUACUGUAUUUAAUUUCUUCAUUUAUGCAAAGGUUUUAUAACAUUAGUCAUUAUGCUAUUAAAUUAUUUAACAUUAUAUUUAUUAAACAUGUGUGUACCGUUUACCGUUCUGCUACUCUGACCUGCUG
rnacentral:lncRNA from 1 species